ACAACCUUUGAAGGAUGACAAAAGUUGUGGUUUGAGAUUGCUGCUUGAGUUACACCAAACACAUUUUUAAAGAGACCCUGGCAAGGGCACAGGCUUGUCAGGACAGCCUGGAUGAUCCUGAAGGCGUUUUUAAGAUAAAUGGUAAAACUGAACUGGAAAUCCAUCUGGCCAGCUGCCUGAUCUAAUGAAUAACCCCACUUUGGCUCCUGCAAUGUAAGCAGAAAGAGUUCUCUCCCGGCCGCUUUCGUCUGUCAUGAAUCUACAAGACAGCCGACAUAAUAUCUGGGCGACAACAGCGUGCUAACAGUGCAGUGACUUCCAUUUUCUUUGCUUUCUAUUGAUUUUCACUUAAUAACUGGCGAAAUACUAAACGUCCGCCCUGAGUACCUAAUAAAUCCUGCCUGAGCUUUUUAUUGAGGAGAAUUUAAUAAAAACAACCAUUGUGGCUGAGGGAUUUUUCUUCUGGACAGAACACGAGAAACUUGGUUUCUUUCUUUUGCAUGUUUUCUCAUUGUCCAGAGAUGGCCACAGCACACACGUGUUGUCCCAAGACAGAGAAGAAGGGUGUUUACAGAAGGAAGGCGCUUCCACCACGAACAUUCUACUCGCCCACAUUUCCUUCUUAAAUCUGAUUUCAAUUUUGUUAAUUGUUAUGAAGGCUCUCUAAUUGCCAAGUGCAGGGGCUGUCAGAAUUCUACAGUAACACGCUUUUUAUUGUCCCAUUUUACAGCUGUUUUACGUUUGACACUUGACAUGCAGGCGUGAAGAUCCCCUGUCGUAUUGGUUGGCUACUGUAACAAAAUGGCAUUUUUAAGUUAUACGAAGUGUUAAAUCUGCAUCCAGUUAAAAACAUAACAAAACAAAACUCGGUGGUUUCUAAGUUGACAAUCCUAAUUGUUAGCUUGGGGGAAAAAAAAAAAAGCUGGAAAAACAAAAGUAAAAGGGCCCAAAAUCUCUUUCUCUAGUUGUCCACCAAGCACGUGUAUGUAUGUUGAUAUAUACGUUACAUGCAGCUUUCUUUUCUGAAGAUGAAUCAGGAGCAAUCAGGAUAACAUUCCUAAGUACAGCAUAUUAUUUCCCCUGCAUAACCUCCUGGAACGGCUCUCUUUGCGAAUAAACUCAACAGAGUUCCUAUUAUACAAAGCUGCUCUUUUAAAGCAUUUGACAGUUUUUAUUUUAAUUGACACAGAGGCAGUUUCAAAGUCAUUGGGUUUAAUGAACAAUCAUCUUAGCAUUUGCCUGCUCAAAUCCUCUUAUUCCCAGCAGUUCACAGUAAAGUUUAUUCUAACAGUUGAAAUUAAAAAAGGAGAGAGAGGCAAGUAGAAAUGUUGAGGAGCUUAUAUAAAAAUCUGUGAAUCUCAAGUUUUGUGCAGUGCUGUUAUGAAAACUACUCAGCCAUGCAAAGCAAUAAGAGGUUUAAUUACUCAUUGGUAGUCCCUCUGCUGCUCCUGAUGUGGUGUGUGGUGUUGCAGAGGCCUGGGAGAGAUAAUUGAGGCAUAUGGGUGGAGUACAGCACUGUUUUGGCAGCUCAUUUAUUUUUUUCUUGUGUGUGUGUGUAUGUGCCGCUGACUGUGUCACUUCUCCUAUGGGAUGGAAGGUGCAACAGUUCAUUGUGGAAAAGUAUCAGUUGAUGACUUAUCCUGAUUCAAACUGUGUAAGGAUCUUGUAGCUGUGGGAUGGGGUUCAAGUUCCAGAAGAGGAUGGACGCUCUCAUGAGACUUUCACAUGACUUGUGCCUGACACUGGAACAGUAUUGUGGAGGAAGUGAGGUGUCUCCUGGUGUUCUGGCAAAUCUACACUGUCUUAAGCUAGAGGCCACAAGAAAUAGUGUGAGAAUGAACCAAAAAGAUCAGUUUUCAUCUUUGCUAAAUCAAUCCAGUUUGGGCACUACUGGUCUAGAAUUUAUUGUCUCUUAAUAGGCAUAACACUGGUGACAGUUAUGGCCUUACCCAUCUAUAAGGUAUGAUGGGGGUAAAGAAAAUUACUCAAUUGUUGAACCUACCAAAUCUGGGCCCUAAAAACCACAUGGAAGGAGUAUUCAAAUCCAGAAAUUCUUACGUUUGUUUCUUGUUUGAAACCCAUUUUUAGGUGAAUAAAUUCAUGAACCAGUUCCAUGUGGCAACUCCAUGAUUAUAAGAAAGUGCUCAAGUUUCUGCUCUGUUUUAUUGCUGCAUGCUAAUAACAAUCAGCAGCUGGAAAUUAAGAGACUCACUUGUGAGAUGCGACCAAAUUACCCUCCACUGCUAAUCUUCAGGUGCUACAUGUCUUUACAGAUUGCAGACUUCCUUACCAAAACCUCUUAAACCAAAAUCUUUUUGCAGAUUUUACCAAAUGUAUAAAAAAAAAGAAAAGAAAAAAAAGAUUUAUCGCUAUCUAAAUGGAGUAAUAGAGUGACAGGACAUAUUUGCAUUCUGAAUAGAUUAGCUGGUCUUUUAAAUAUUUAUUUGUGUCUAUUUUCAAAGUCCUCGAGCCUCUGAAAUUUUCCAAACACUUCUGAUUUGAUAGACUGGGAAAUCUGUCUGCAGUUCCAAUUAUACUUGAAAAGAUACAUACAAAUGAUUUGACAAGUUAAAAAUUAGCAGCAAGUUCUAUACCUAGCAAGAUUUUGCAAGCAGCAGUCAUAAUUCAUGAUACUUCAUUCUAAAGUUCAUGUAAAUUCUGUGUGUGUGGGAUCCUUUAAUUGGUAAGCAUAAAGGUGUAUUGCUAUUCACCUAAUGUAUUCUAUUGCUCAACAAAAGGUUGUUGUAGUGAGCUCUGAUUGUGACAAAUGAUUUACUAUUAGGAACAUUCUGUAAUUAUUGUUCGGUGGUACCACAGACCGAUACAUCAUUAACAUGAUAGACGACCUUUUAUAUCAGCAAAAAUAACUAAAUUAAUAAAAAUGGCUUCAUUCCAAACCCUGUCAGAAAGCCAAUACUCGAAACAAUCAAGUAUCAGUGAUACCUCAAAAGACCAGAGUUAUAUUUUUGUUAAGCAAAUCUUAUUGUUUGUGCAAUAACAUUGACAUGUGCUGUAGAAUGGAGGGCUGGAUUUUCAGCUGCUGUGAAUCAAUAGUCUAAUUAAUUCUAUUUAA